AGUGAACGCUGGCGGUAGGCCUAACACAUGCAAGUCGAACGGCAGCACAGUAAGAGCUUGCUCUUACGGGUGGCGAGUGGCGGACGGGUGAGGAAUACAUCGGAAUCUACUUUUUCGUGGGGGAUAACGUAGGGAAACUUACGCUAAUACCGCAUACGACCUACGGGUGAAAGCAGGGGAUCUUCGGACCUUGCGCGAUUGAAUGAGCCGAUGUCGGAUUAGCUAGUUGGCGGGGUAAAGGCCCACCAAGGCGACGAUCCGUAGCUGGUCUGAGAGGAUGAUCAGCCACACUGGAACUGAGACGCGGACCAGACUCCUACGGGAGGCAGCAGUGGGGAAUAUUGGACAAUGGGCGCAAGCCUGAUCCAGCCAUGCCGCGUGGGUGAAGAAGGCCUUCGGGUUGUAAAGCCCUUUUGUUGGGAAAGAAAAGCAGCAGGUUAAUACCCCGCUGUUCUGACGGUACCCAAAGAAUAAGCACCGGCUAACUUCGUG
rnacentral:rRNA from 1 species